UACAGAGGGGGCCAGCGUUAUUCGGAAUUAUUGGGCGUAAAGGGCGCGUAGGCGGCCAUGCGUGUCUUCCGUGAAAUCCCUCGGCUUAACUGAGGACGUGCGGAAGAAACUGCAAGGCUCGAGCCGGGAGAGGAGGGUGGAAUUCCCAGUGUAGCGGUGAAAUGCGUAGAUAUUGGGGAGGAACACCAGUGGGCGAAGGCGGCUCGCUGGACCGGUUC
rnacentral:rRNA from 1 species